AUGUUGUGUUGUUUUUUUUCCCCCCAGGACAGUGAAACUAACAGAGAAUAUGAAAAGAAGAGAAACACUCGUGACCUUUCCCGGGAGAUCUCGGAAGACAGUGAUGUGUUUGGAGCGGCAGAUGUGGUCCCGAACAAUGGGGCCCCCUCGCAGGGCGCGGCGGUGACAGACUCCAAGCGCACAGCGGACCCGAAGAAUGCCUGGCCCGAGGCCAGCCCAGCUGACCCGGGCGGCCGCCCCCACCUGGUCCGCCUCUUUUCCCGAGAUGCCCCGGGCCGGGAGGACAACACCUUCAAAGACCGGCCCUCGGAAUCAGACGAGCUCCAGACCAUCCAGGAGGACAGCGCGGCCGCUCCCGGGGCGGUGGACGCGAUGGCGGCCCAGAAGAGACCCUCCCAGAGAUCCAAGUACCUGGCCUCGGCGAGCACCAUGGACCACGCCAGGCACGGCUUCCUCCCCAGACACAGAGACACGGGCAUCCUCGACUCCCUCGGCCGCUUCUUUGGCUCGGACAGGGGUGCGCCGAAGCGGGGCUCCGGCAAGGUCCCGUGGCUCAAGCAGAGCAAGAGCCCCCUGGGCCCCCAUGCCCGCAGCCCACCCGGGCUGUGCAACAUGUACCAGGAUGGACACCACGCGGCCAGAACCACCCACUAUGGCUCCCUGCCCCAGAAGGCGCAGCACGGCCGGCCCCAAGACGAAAACCCCGUAGUGCACUUCUUCAAGAACAUCGUGACACCUCGCACACCUCCUCCAUCGCAAGGAAAGGGGCGAGGACUGUCCCUCAGCAGAUUUAGCUGGGGGGCUGAGGGCCAGAAGCCAGGAUUCGGCUAUGGAGGCAGAGCAUCUGACUACAAAUCGGCUCACAAGGGACUCAAGGGGCAUGACGCCCAGGGCACGCUUUCCAGAAUCUUCAAGCUGGGAGGACGAGACAGCCGUUCCGGGUCCCCGAUGCCGGCGCCCCCCCAACCCUGCCCAUACGCACGUCCUGCGGGCUCCUGGCCAGUGGCUCAAUGGAGAAGACGGUGCAGCUGUCAGCUCACCCUUGGAGAUCAGCGAGGUCCCCGAGGGUCCAGGGUGGGCGACCCUCCACGCCCACCCUCUGCCCUGGGACGGCCGUGGGAGCAGCCCUGGGGACCCUGGCGCCGGGCCCCCACGCAGGAUGUGGAGACCGACCUUGGCUCUGAGCUUCCUUUGGUUUCUUUCCCGCCUCCUCUCACCUCUUAA
rnacentral:lncRNA from 1 species